rnacentral:rRNA from 1 species
GUGGGGAAUUUUGGACAAUGGGCGCAAGCCUGAUCCAGCAAUGCCGCGUGCAGGAAGAAGGCCUUCGGGUUGUAAACUGCUUUUGUACGGAACGAAACGGUCCUGGUUAAUACCUGGGGCUAAUGACGGUACCGUAAGAAUAAGCACCGGCUAACUACGUGCCAGCAGCCGCGGUAAUAAGUAGGGUGCGAGCGUUAAUCGGAAUUACUGGGCGUAAAGCGUGCGCAGGCGGUGCUGUAAGACAGGCGUGAAAUCCCCGGGCUCAACCUGGGAAUUGCGCUUGUGACUGCAGUGCUGGAGUACGGCAGAGGGGGAUGGAAUUCCGCGUGUAGCAGUGAAAUGCGUAGAUAUGCGGAGGAACACCGAUGGCGAAGGCAGUCCCCUGGGCCUGUACUGACGCUCAUGCACGAAAGCGUGGGGAGCAAACAGGAUUAGAUACCCUGGUAGUCC